AACGAACGCUGGCGGCGGGCCUCAUACAUGCAAGUCGAGCGCGAAAGUCCGCAAAGAUGAGUAAAGCGGCGCACGGGUGAGUAACACGUGGAUAAUCUACCCUUUGGAUUGGAAUAACCUGUCGAAAGACGGGCUAAUGCCGAGUACGCACUCGAGGGCGUGAAGCUCUUGAGUGGAAAGAUGGCGCAAGCUAUCGCCGAUGGAUGAGUCUGCGUCCCAUUAGUUAGUUGGUGAGGUAACGGCUUACCAGGACAAUGAUGGGUACCUGGUCUGAGAGGAUGAUCAGGCACACUGGAACUGAAACACGGUCCAG
rnacentral:rRNA from 1 species